AGUGAACGCUGGCGGUAGGCCUAACACAUGCAAGUCGAACGGCAGCACAGUAAGAGCUUGCUCUUACGGGUGGCGAGUGGCGGACGGGUGAGGAAUACAUCGGAAUCUACUUUUUCGUGGGGGAUAACGUAGGGAAACUUACGCUAAUACCGCAUACGACCUACGGGUGAAAGCAGGGGAUCUUCGGACCUUGCGCGAUUGAAUGAGCCGAUGUCGGAUUAGCUAGUUGGCGGGGUAAAGGCCCACCAAGGCGACGAUCCGUAGCUGGUCUGAGAGGAUGAUCAGCCACACUGGAACUGAGACACGGUCCAGACUCCUACGGGAGGCAGCAGUGGGGAAUAUUGGACAAUGGGCGCAAGCAUGAUCCAGCCAUACCGCGUGGGUGAAGAAGGCCUUCGGGUUGUAAAGCCCUUUUGUUGGGAAAGAAAAGCAGCAGGUUAAUACCCCGCUGUUCUGACGGUACCCAAAGAAUAAGCACCAGCUAACUUCGUG
rnacentral:rRNA from 1 species